rnacentral:rRNA from 1 species
AUUGAACGCUGGCGGAAUGCUUUACACAUGCAAGUCGAACGGUAGAGGGGGCAACCCCUUGAGAGUGGCGAACGGGUGAGUAAUAUAUCGGAACGUGCCCAGUCGUGGGGAUAACGUAGCGAAAGCUACGCUAAUACCGCAUACGAUCUAUGGAUGAAAGCGGGGGAUCGCAAGACCUCGCGCGAUUGGAGCGGCCGAUAUCAGAUUAGGUAGUUGGUGAGGUAAAGGCUCACCAAGCCGACGAUCUGUAGCUGGUCUGAGAGGACGACCAGCCACACUGGGACUGAGACACGGCCCAGACUCCUACGGGAGGCAGCAGUGGGAAUUUUGGACAAUGGGCGCAAGCCUGAUCCAGCAAUGCCGCGUGCAGGAUGAAGGCCUUC